rnacentral:rRNA from 1 species
GACGAACGCUGGCAGCAUGCCUAAUACAUGCAAGUCGAGCGGAGUUGAUGGAAAGCUUGCUUUCCUGAUACUUAGCGGCGGACGGGUGAGUAACACGUAGGCAACCUGCCCUCAAGCUUGGGACAACUACCGGAAACGGUAGCUAAUACCGAAUACUUGUUUUCUUCGCCUGAAGAGAACUGGAAAGACGGAGCAAUCUGUCACUUGGGGAUGGGCCUGCGGCGCAUUAGCUAGUUGGUGAGGUAACGGCUCACCAAGGCGACGAUGCGUAGCCGACCUGAGAGGGUGAUCGGCCACACUGGGACUGAGACACGGCCCAGACUCCUACGGGAGGCAGCAGUAGGGAAUCUUCCGCAAUGGGCGAAAGCCUGACGGAGCAAUGCCGCGUGAGUGAUGAAGGUUUUCGGAUCGUAAAGCUCUGUUGCCAGGGAAGAACGCUUGGGAGAGUAACUGCUCCCAAGGUGACGGUACCUGAGAAGAAAGCCCCGGCUAACUACGUGCCAGCCGCCGCGGUAA